AUGGAGAACCCUGCAUAUAUUGCAACCGAGCAAGAAGUUGGUACAUCUCCCUGUACUAUAAAACAUGGAAAGCAUGUAACAGCGGGAGAAAGACAAACGUUGCGACGCCGUCGUAACAAAGAAUUCGCAGCAAGACAGAUGAAAUCAUCACAAGAAGAUAGAUCCAUGUUGGAAAAUGACAAUGAUGACAAAGAACCUCUGGAACAACCAGAAGUCAUGAUUAAUGGUAAAAUCUAA
rnacentral:rRNA from 1 species